UUAAUUAACUUUUCGCAUUUAACCUCACUUUCUUUUUAUUGUCAAUUCAAUCCUUGUUGUCAUCUCCAUGGUAACGGAUUCGUAAAGUGAAUCAAAACACAAUAAAAACGUAAACAAAACGAUUUUUGAGGUUAUGUUUAUACAUUAUCUAAAUGCAGGAAGUUUCUGUAUCAAUUAAUCAAAAUGUGGAUGAUUAUUAUAAAUCUUGAGUUAUGGUAUAAAACUGUAUAACAAAUACAUCAUAAAUUUGAUGAAGAUGAAAACCACUAAUACAAUAAAUCGAAUAAAAAGGUUAUGAUUAAGCUUCUUUUCAUUGUUAUUAAUACAUCAAAUUCUAUCAAAUGGUAAUACACGAUAUUUGCAAAUUAAAGAAUUUACUUUGAUGAAGAAGGCAAAACUCGAAAUUUUAAGGAAAAUUGACUAAAAAUUGGAAUUAUGCUUAAUGUUCAUUAAUCUUGGAUUCAAGAGAGGAUUCAAGUUAAAUUUGAUGUAGCUUAUCAUUUAGUUAACAUAGAAUUAAUCUUGGAUUAACGUCAAGUUAACAUGGAAAUUAGAUUAAAAUAAGGCUAAUCACUAAAUAACAUUCAAUUUAGAUUUGAUGUAACUCAUAAUUUAGUUAACAUGGAAUUAAUCUUGGAUUAAUGUACCAUUAACGUCAAGUUAACGUGGAAAUUAGAUUAAAAUAAGGCUAACCACUAAAUAACAUUCAACUCAGAUUUGAUAUAGCGCAUAAUUUAGUUAACAUGGAAUAAAUCUUGGAUUAACAUACCAAUAACGUCAAGUUAACGUGAAAAUGAGGUUAAGGUAAUACUGACAGUUGUAAAAAUAUCAAAAUAACUUGAAAAUUAAGUUAAUGUAGCGUUAGACGCUGAUUAACACUCAUUAAAGUUAAAAAAAAACAUUUUUCAGUGAAAAUGUAAUUAUUUAACACUCAUUUAAUGUCAAGCUAAUCAAAAAGGAAAUUUGUUAUUAAAAAAAGAUAUUUAUUUCUAA